rnacentral:lncRNA from 1 species
UACAUAUAAUUAUAUAAUCGUAUUCUUAAACAUUAAAAAAGUAUUCUAGAACUUUUCAUAUUUUUUAAAUCCAAAAAACCUUUGGAAAAUACAAUUGUUUACCAGUUAUCCGGGUAAUCAAAUCAAACAGUGAAAAACUGAAUAAUCUGUGGAAGAUUUAAUUUUAUUUAAAUUUUUAAGGAGUCUAGUGUUAUAACAUUUCAUUAAAAGCAAAAGUUUGAUCUUUUAAUUAAAGAAAACAUUUAGGUUCUCGGAUUUCUAGUUUUUUGAAGAUACUGUUAACAAUUGGGCAAUUUACUCUAUUUGUUUGUUCAAUUGUAAAUUAUCAUAAUUUCAAUAACUCGCAGAUGCACUUUAAACAGAAAUAUUAACUUAAUUAAUAUUUCUUUCUUGUGACUAUUGAUUGCCACGUUCGGCAAUUGGAAUCGCGUGACGGCAAUUCCCCGCGAGACAUCUCUAUGGCGGCGUUGAGAAAACUGCGGGACCCAUUGAAUCACGAAGCAAUCGAGUCUGACGACUGAGUCGGGGAUAUUCGAGGUCGUUCUUCUCCUGUCUCUCGUUCGCGCCAUGCCAUUUGUCUUCCCCGCCCGUGAAAGACUUUGCUCCAACAGCCGCGCCGCGCCGCUCCCGAGACGGCUCGCGGGCUCGUCUCCGAACAAAAUCAUAAAAGUUUUAGCCUACUGCAACUCGGAAAUGCGAUCUCUCACGUGUACCUGAGAAGGUUUCUGAUGUUAGGUCAUUUCGUGACGCAUUUAACCGCUUUGUUACACCUUUCCUGCACGUAGACACUGUACAGACAAGGAAUCUAAGGAAAGAAUUUGUAAAAUGAUAACAUAAUUGCAUUUCUUUGCAAAACUUGAAAUCAAUUUUUUUUCUACUAACACUAAAUAACAAAUUUUGAUCAAUUUUUUGUUUCUCAAUAAAUAAUAGGUGGUAAUUUCUUGUAAGAUUGUCUACAUAAAGAGAUAAGUAUGCUUUUCAAAAAAUUCUAUUACCAUUAAAUUUUUAAAAACUUUGUUUUGAAUUUCUUACUAUAACAAAGUCGUAAUAUAUGUAAUAUGCAGUUAUAAGAGAGAAAUUUGAAUACUAUUUUACAAUAUAUUAAAAUAAAUAAUGCUUCUUUUAUUAUUUGUGUACAGGAUGUUGCAGCAACAUAUAGGUCAGUAUGACGAGUUAUCUUCUCUAACAGAUGCUCAUGGUCGUUCACAAUUGAAUAGACUUUGGCGGCAUAAUCAUCUAUCUUUUUUAUUUUUAUUUUUUUAUUCUGUUAUAAAAUCAUGUGCUAGUGAAAAACCCGCCAUACUAACCUGUAUAUUGAUGCCAUACUCUAUAAUUUAAAGUAAUAUACUGAAAUAAUAAAGAACAAUAAGUAAAAUGAACUUAUUUUAAUUCUCGAAAAUAAAACUAAUAUAUUUUUUACUCUAGGGAAGCUGCUUUUAGUUAAAAACUUAACAUUUACAUUCGUCAAUAAUGGUGUUCAUCUACUGUAAAUUUUUAAUUAUGACGUAUUUAAUACUUAAAAUGUUAUUUAUAAAAAUAUGAUGACAUUGCAUGAUAGAUCGAAGAGAAAUAGAAAUGGUAAUGUGGCUCUUCUAUUAAAAUAGAUUUGUAAUAAAAUAAAAAAUAGGUUUUAUUUAAAAAACGCAGUUUCGUCAAAAUUAUAUAAUUAAUUAGAAUGAAGAAAAAAUAUUUCAUAGCAUAUGCAAAUAUAUGUACGCAUCUAUAUAAUCUUUUCAAUAUACAGAUUGUAGUAUUAAAGUUUGUAAUACAUGUAGUGUGCAAACUAUAAAUUAACAAUAAAACUAUAAUUAGCUUAUCGAAUAACUAUUUCGAUAAAACUUUGGAAAAGAAGCUAUAUUAGACCUAUUGAGACGUCAGUUCUGAGUCAGGUAUAUUAGCAAAAUCUCAUGCUAUUGUUUAGUUUUUUUGUAUAAUUCGAAAUUAUAUAACCAAAUAAAAGUUAAAUAAUAAAAAAACUAUUACGUACAUAUAUUGGUGUGAUAACAUGAAUACAUUUAAAAAGAAUGAGAUAUGUGCAAUUUAAUACUAAAACAGUUCUCGAAAAGAUUCAAAAUGUUAAGUAAAAAUGUCUUAUAACAAAUGUUGACUUUUUUCGUAUUAGGGUAUUAUUUAAAGCUACUACGUAAUUACGGACUAUUAAACAAAUGUAAUCAUUAGAAUUCCUCAUCUAUAUAUUAACGUCUUAUAAGUUAGCGGAACAAAAUGAACAGAAUUAAUUGUUAAUAAUAUUUUUAUUUGAUGCUCAUUUGUUGCUAAAAAGUUGCGAAAGAAAAAAAUUUGUUGCGCUGUUAGUUUUUUCUUAAAGCAAUGUUCCGCUAAAGGAAGAUUAAGUUAGCGGAACAAUAUAUAAAAAAUAAUAAAAUAUGUAAUAAUAACAUGGGAAUAUUGCAAAUUUGUUGUAAUGACACAAUAAAGCAUAGGGGGAAACAAAUACAAACAAAAAAUCAUUAAGUAUUAAAAACAGAAACUUUGUAAAUCAUUAUAAUUUAAUCUUUAAUCAUCUUCAUUGUUCAUCGUUCAGAUCACAAUAAAUUGCGUCAACAGAAUAUUAAUUUGUGAUAAAUAGUUGUGACAAAUAAUUAGCCACAGUUUUUGUUAAGCAAAAUUGUUUUCAAAGUUAAAUUAUUCUCUCUUUCUCUAUUUAUCGUACGCGUCGAAAAGGCAAACAUUGCGCAAGUUUAUCCGUCGAUGAAAAUUUGGGUAUAAUUCCUCACAUUGAAGCGUAAUUAAUUAAUGCAGAAGUGGCGCUUCAAUGUUCAGCUAUUCGCAAUCGCAUUUUCUAGAUUGAAGGUAAUUAAGAGCUUAUUAUUAUAUUGUAACGCGUAUUAAAACGCGCACACACGCGUUUACGUAUAUCGUAGCAAUUUGUUACGCUUUGUGAAUUAGUUGCCAGCAAAUUUAUUAGUUGUUGAAUUUAUUAGCAUAAUUUUCCCUCCAGCACGCUAACGAACCUUCUCGCGUUUCGAUCUACACGUGAUUUUCUCGUAAACAUAGCCCGCAGUUGCACCUCGCGCUCGUGUUUUUCAAACGCGUUGUUUUCGCACCUAUCGGAUUUCUUUAAUCGAUGUUUGCAUAUUUAAAUAAUUUAAGUGUGAAGCCAAAUGGGGAUUAAGUAUGAAAUAUACGGUUCUCUAAAACCUAUAGUAAAAAGUCCUGCUGAUCUAAAUUUGUAGUAAUGUAAAUUAUCAAAAAACGGAGCAUCUUCGCGAAUUAAGCUUUACUGUUUUGCAAACAAAUAGCGAAAUCUAAUUUUACAUUGAAAUAUAAAUGGUUGUUACUUGCAAAGAGAGAUCUAAGAGAGUUAUCAAUUAAAACGAUAUCUAAUCCUACACUAAAGAGUUUCGAAUACAAUAGAAAAACCAAAAAAA